GGCGGGAUGGAGGCCGGGGACUGCCAGAUGGUCGUGGCAUUGGCCUGAAUGGUCCGGAUGAACGGAAGGGCGACUCGAGUGGGUGCAUCGGCAGAGAGUAUGCUUACUACCGGAUCUUCAAUUUCUGAGACCUCCUCAGCCUGCAGGUUCAUGUUCUGUGCCAUGCGCCUGAGGAGGUCGUGAUGUGCCCUGAGAUCAAGCGGCGGGGGGCUGGUAGAUGUUGUUCCAGCCACCGCUUCAUCUGGGGAGGACGAUGAGGAGCGACCCGG